AGAGUUUGAUCAUGGCUCAGGAUGAACGCUGGCGGCGUGCGUAACACAUGCAAGUUGAGCGACGACGCAUCUGAAGUGGCAACAUGGAAGGUGCGAGCGGAGCAGCGGACGGGUGAGUAAUACAUGAGAAGCUGUCCUGUGGUGGGGGACAACGUCUGGAAACGGACGCUAAUACCCCAUAGUCUGAGAGGUUAAAGCCGAAAGGCGCCAUGGGAGGCGCUCGUGUCCUAUCAGCUAGUUGGUGAGGUAACGGCUCACCAAGGCGACGACGGGUAGCCGGCCUGAGAGGGUGUCCGGCCACACUGGGACUGAGAUACGGCCCAGACUCCUACGGGAGGCAGCAGUGGGGAAUAUUGGGCAAUGGGAGAAAUCCUGACCCAGCGACGCCGCGUGAAUGAAGAAGGCCUUCGGGUCGUAAAGUUCUUUUAUGCGGGAAGAAGGAAGUGACGGUACCGCAUGAAUAAGCCCCGGCUAACUACGUGCCAGCAGCCGCGGUAAUACGUAGGGGGCGAGCGUUGUCCGGAAUUACUGGGCGUAAAGGGCACGCAGGCGGUGCAUCAAGUCAGCUGUAAAAGGAUGCGGCUUAACCGUAUUAUGCAGUUGAGACUGAAGUACUGGAGUGCUGGAGAGGCAAGUGGAAUUCCCAGUGUAGCGGUGAAAUGCGUAGAUAUUGGGAAGAACAUCGGUGGCGAAAGGCGACUUGCUGGCCAGUAACUGACGCUGAGGUGCGAAAGCCARGGUAGCAAACSGGRAUUUAGAUACCCCGGUAGUCCUGGGCCGUAAACGAUGAAUGCUAGGUGUGCGUGCAGAGAUGCAGGUGUGCCGCAGUAACGCGAUAAGCAUUCCGCCUGGGGAGUACGGUCGCAAGAUUGAAACUCAAAGGAAUUGACGGGGGCCCGCACAAGCGGUGGAGCGCGUGGUUUAAUUCGAUGCAAACCCGAAGAACCUUACCUGGGUUUGACAUGUAAGUGGUAGGAGCUGGAAACAGUGACGAAUCUGCCGCAAGGUAGAUAGCUUACACAGGUGCUGCAUGGCUGUCGUCAGCUCGUGUCGUGAGAUGUUGGGUUAAGUCCCGCAACGAGCGCAAGCGCGUGCGGCUAGUUGCCAUCAAUACGGUUGGGCACUCUAGCAGGACUGCCAUCGACAAGAUGGAGGAAGGUGGGGACGACGUCAAGUCAUCAUGGCCCUUAUGUCCAGGGCGACACACGUGCUACAAUGGACGGUACAGAGGGAAGCGAGGCAGUGAUGUUGAGCGGAUCCCGAAAAGCCGUUCUCAGUUCGGAUUGAAGUCUGCAAUUCGACUUCAUGAAGCUGGAAUCGCUAGUAAUCGCAGAUCAGCCAAGCUGCGGUGAAUCCGUUCCCGGGCCUUGUACACACCGCCCGUCACACCACCCGAGCCGGGUGUACCCGAAGCCGGUGGCCUAACCGCAAGGAAGGAGCCGUCGAAGGUGUGUCUGGUGAGGGGGGUGAAGUCGUAACAAGGUAGCCGUA
rnacentral:rRNA from 1 species